rnacentral:rRNA from 1 species
AUUGAACGCUGGCGGCAGGCUUAACACAUGCAAGUCGAGCGGAGAGAGGUCGCUUGCUCCUGAUCUUAGCUGCGGACGGGUGAGUAAUGCUUAGGAAACUGCCUAUUAGUGGGGGACGACAUUGCGAAAGGAAUGCUAAUACCGCAUACGUCCUACGGGAGAAAGCAGGGGAUCUUCGGACCUUGCGCUAAGAGAUGAGCCUAAGUCGGAUUAGCUAGUUGGGGGGGUAAAGGCCUACCAAGGCGACGAUCUGUAGCGGGUCUGAGAGGAUGAUCCGCCACACUGGGACUGAGACACGGCCCAGACUCCUACGGGAGGCAGCAGUGGGGAAUAUUGGACAAUGGGCGCAAGCCUGAUCCAGCCAUGCCGCGUGUGUGAAGAAGGCCUUAUGGUUGUAAAGCACUUUAAGCGAGGAGGAGGCUACUUUAGUUAAGACCCAGAGAUAGUGGACGUUACUCGCAGAAUAAGCACCGGCUAACUCUGUGCCAGCCGCCGCGGUAAUAC